rnacentral:rRNA from 1 species
GCCUACGGGGGGCAGCAGUGGGGAAUAUUGCGCAAUGGGCGAAAGCCUGACGCAGCGACGCCGCGUGAGGGAUGAAGGUCUUCGGAUCGUAAACCUCGGUCCGCAGGGAAGAACGGUCACUGUGCUAAUCAGCAGUGAAUUGACGGUACCUGCAAAGGAAGCACCGGCUAACUCCGUGCCAGCAGCCGCGGUAAUACGGAGGGUGCGAGCGUUAAUCGGAAUUACUGGGCGUAAAGCGCUCGUAGGCGGUAUGUCAAGUCAAGGGUGAAAUCCCCGCGCCCAACGUGGGAACUGCCUUUGAAACU